GGUCGAACGAAAUUUCUCUGAUUUGGCCGCGGAUCUCGAUCGGAUCCAAUCAUCGCCGGCAACGUCUAGGUUUAUACAAAAUAAGUGAGUUGUUUUUUUAAGGAUUUGUUACCAUACCAUAACUUUUUUUUAAUUCUCAAAAAAAUGUAACUGUAAUUUUUUUUGAUCAAUCGCAAUUUUCUCCAUUCGGUUCGCGGGCCAAAGUAUUUUAAUUUUUUUUGGUAGUUACAAAAAGUCGCCUGCAACUAGAUUUCAGAAAUUCUAGGAAACUGUGCGAAAUUCAGAUAAAUUAGUUGAGAAUUUUUUUAAAGGAACUUUUUUGAAUUUUCAAAUCGAAAAAAAAACCAAAAUCUCUGUUUUUUCUUUAAUUUCAACUAACAUUCUUCUUUGCUUCAUUAUCAGCUUCGCAUGCCUUUUCUUUUUCCAAUUCAGAUCAUCAACUCUUCCGUCAUCAUAUUCCGAUUCCACACAGCAGUAUUCGUUCGAAAAUACGGUUGCCACGUCGCAAUAUGGAGGACUUCAAACCAACAACAAUAAUAAUAAUAUUAAUAUGAAUUCAUUUGAACCCUAUUGGAGAAAUGGAUCAAUAUAUCGGAGGCAAUUCGAAGGAAAUGGCAAACCGUAUGUGUUUCGCUUCUUUUAUUUUUCUUACUUUCUCGCAUGAGUUUCUUUAUUUUUCUCUAUAAUAGUUUUUUUUCUUGCGCUGAAGUAUUUUAGUUGCGACUAACAAAUAUUUGUGUUUUUUCGAAAAAAAAUGUGGCCUAGAAAAAACCAGAAACUUGGCCAGCAUAUUUUCUUAGAUUUCUCAUUCGGGAUUUUUUUUGAAUUUGCUAAAAAAAAGAUCCUUGUGACUUUUCCAAAGUACAAAACUAAAAGUAAAAUUUUUGAUUCAUUCAGGAACACGGUCUUCUUUGGAUCUUUCAGAAUAGUGAUGGCACAUAAUAUCUUGAAAUUUUCGAAUUUUUCAAUUUGAAAAAUCUAUUAAGAUUACAGAAAUUGCUAAAAUAGCGUGGCCGAGUUUUCUCACAUAUCGGCUCGUUGGAACCGUAAAAACCCUUUUCAAGCCCAUUGUUGGCAAGCUUAUGAAGGAUCUAUCGUAACCUUAAGUUUUUAAAAAACCGCACUGUGUUUGUGAUAAAAAUUCAUUUAGUGUGUCUAGAUAUAUUUUUAGAACGCCGAUUUUUUAUCGGACAUUCACAUUUUUUAAAAUUUAAAAAUUUGAUACGAUUUGCGCCAGAUUGUUUUUUUAGUAAAUUUAAUAUAUGCAGGCACCUGAAAAAACCAAUCAUUUCAUGAAAAUGAGUUGCUGUUAAUAUAAAUAAUCAAAUUUCUUCGAUCAAAACUUUUUUUUCAGUUUUGGCGAGGAAAACGAUGGAAUCUCACCAACGACGAAUGGAGUGAAGCACACGACAUACGCCGUCGUCAAAACACCAAAGGAAACAGAACUUGAAACAACAUCAGAAAACAGAGGACUCAUGGAAACACGGAGGGGUCUGAGUCCAGAGAGGCCUGACGUGGAUUUAACGAAUCGAAAGGUCUCGUUCAGCACUGCACCUAUUCCG
rnacentral:sRNA from 1 species